CACGAUAUAUGCGUUUGUCUUAGCGUCAAUUAUCGAUGCUUCUACAAGUAACCGUCAUUAACUGUGUAGUGAUCUACCCUAAAUAGUAACAAUGUGCUCCGUAACUUUUGGAUUGUAUGUAUAUUGUGAACAAUCUACCGACCCCUCCUCUCAAACCAAUCCUAAAUGCCGCCAUAUUUCAUCACCCCACACAUUGGUUCUUUCUGUGGUUACAAUACUUCUGUGUAAAAAAAUAAACUUUUUUUUCUUAAAAUCAGAUCAAUCGUUAGUUACAUAAGUAUAUAGGUUUGUUAUAUCCACCAAGUCAUUUAACACUUUUUCCCAUGUUGAGAUAGAUACGCUCCAUAAAUAUAGGCUUCCAUUAGUACGUACGUAAGAUUAAGACAUCUCGUAUAUUCGAUUCAAACACAUCAUUGCACUCUUAAGUCCCGAAGAAGACGGGUUCGUGUAAGAAGUAAAUCUAAGUCAAACCGGCCAAACUACCAAACGACAAUGUUUUUAACAGUUGAAGAACCCAAUAAAAGAAAGAGUAAUUCUUAGUGG